UAGAUGGGUACCAUUAGAUUAGUACCAUUAGAAUUAUUAUAUAUGGGUAAAGAUGUUUUCAAGAUCUAUGGAAAGAUCUUUUCCAAAGCUGUGGAAUCUAUGGAAAAUGUGAUCUUCUUUUAAGAACUUAACUUUAUCUUUUAAGAUCUCUCUAAUAGGUUUUAUAUGUGGAAAAAUGUUAAUACUUCAUGGAAAGUUAAGAAGAUUUGUUAGAAGUAUUUCUUCUCUUUUAGAAGAAUCAUUUUAAAGCCAAAGCAGAUCGUUCUUUCUAGAUCUAUAAAGGAGUUUCUAAUAUUGUAUUAAGGUUAAGCUUUACAUAGAUAGAGUUACUCCUCAGAGCAAGAUUAAGUUAAGAUCAAGUUAAUAUUGCAUUAAAACCGUCUUAAAAACCCUAAAAAAAUAUAAGCCUGCACUUUCUAGAUUGAUCAAAUUGUUUAUUGAACCAUCUAUAGAUAUAGGCUAUAUAGCUAUAUAGGUAGUAAUCCGUAUGGAAUAUGAUAUUGUUAUUGUAGUUGCAUUUAGAAAAUAUAAAGCCGAUAUGCUGGAGACGGAGACUUCGUUUAUGAAUCAUCGUAUUUUCUAGAUUAUUCAGACUGUCUUACAUACAGUUUAUAGCAUUUCCAGAAUAUUACGAAGGCAAACAUUGCAAUUAUAUCAGAUUUUCUAUAUAAACUUAAUGGAGAUUGGUUAUUGAUAUACAUAUGGGAUAGAUAUAUAUGGCAUAAAUAUAUGUGGGAUAUAUAUAAAUAGUCUUAAACCAGCUGUGUGGGCUAACGAUCGUAUUACUAGACUUCACUUUUUGUUUAGCUUUCUCACUUGCAACUUUCUGGUUUAAGUUUUGCAACUUUCUGGUUUAAGUUAUUCGAUUCUAAAAUGAAGAAAUUGUUCUAAAAAUCACUAUAAUUAGCUUACAAAAAUAACAUUAGAAGCUUAAGCUUAAACUUAAACAUGAUUUAAUCUAAUUAUGUUGGCUCUUAAGUGCAAAUCCAAGGGAGAAAAAAGCCUAGAAGGGCCAGGCAAAUGGGUUAGAUUUUAAUUACUGGAAUGAAUCUUUCCAGAAGUUGAUUUAAAUCUAGAAACCUCAAACCUCAUUUACUCAAAUGCAUCUAAGUCGCUUGACUUAAGGAAGAAAGUUUCUUAAAUACUGACUUCCCAACAAUAGUUCUUGAUUAUAGAUCAUCUAUAAAACUGUGAAAAUAAGAACUUAAUGGAUCUAUAAAUAUCUAGAAGAAAAUCAGAAAUCAGAAAAUUCAAAUUCAAAGCCAAAAAAAGUUCUAGAAAGAACGAAGAUCUUAGCCAGAUCUUUACUUUGCCUUUUAAAACCCUUAAACCUCAAGCUUAAGGCAGUUUAGUUUGUAGGCUUACAUAAUCCUUUAACUAACUUAUGAAAUCUACAAAAUAUGUUUUAGGUAGAAUCCAAAGUCUGCCCAAAACUAAACUGCUAAACAUGCUAUGGCGAUAUCUCUGCUUGUAAUCUUGAUUGAAUCACUAAACCUCUUAUCUUCCUCUCAUGCUGACUCACUCGUUCAUUGGGAUCAGUAGUGAUAUAUAUAUAUAUAUAGUAUAUAGUAUAUAACUUGGCGAAUUUUUAUUAGCAUGCCCAUAUAGUGCACAAAUAAGUUGGCAAACCUUUGGCUAUAAUUGUUUGGUUUUUUCGAGCUUUUAAAUCACAAACGUUUGUCUUUCUUAUCUCAAAAGUGGGGGGAGGAGGGUAACAAUAGGGGUAUGGGUGAUGUUUAUAAGAGACUACAAGGGGCCAUUUGACAACUGGCCCAACUGCUGUUUACAGUUAUGAACAUGCCCUUGACCAUGCCACCAUAUAAACACACUUUUAAAUGUCGUCGUUGCCCACCUACCGCCUACCGUCUGCCGCCUGCCGCUUAACCCCCUUCACCUAUUUCCCUAUUUUAAUUGGCAGGCUGCCUAAUUGCUGCCACUGCCACUGCCUGCCUCAACCCUUUUCUGCCUUGCCUCGGCCUGCCUACACCCCAUCGUUCGAUCAUUUAAUUUCAGUUCAUUUGAUUUCUUUCGCUUGUAUGUCAAUUAAUGUAAAUUUCUGGCUGUCAACGCGGCAGUUGACUUAAUGAAUCGCCGCCAGCCAGCCAGGCAGGCGCAGGCUAAUCUCCCCCAGCAAUCAAAGCAGAUUAUUAGGCUUAGCUAUGGCCUAGCUUGACUAUUUUCUAUUUCCUAUUUUCCUUGUUUUUUAACUGCUUGAUUCUCCUUGAUUCUUCUCUUCAAUCAUCGUUGUUGGUCCUAAAUUGGCAUAUUUAUGUUACUCAGGGCAGCAAUGCUAGCUGCUGAGGGGGGGGAGGGGAGUUUAAUUCAGCUGCAGCUACGUGACCUCUGGCCCGCUCUGCUCCUCUGCUGUUAACCCUUAACCCUCUUAACACCCCACCCUCCCGAGUCAGUGUCAGUGCCUUGCCUUUGGCUCUUUCGAAUGCAAACAAUGUGCCCGCCCGUCCGCUUUUCACGUCCCUCUGCCCUCGUUCUUUGUACCUGUCGUGGCCAACUUUACCUUUUGCCAUCUUCCCAUGAUUGUCUUAAAUCAGACAUGACCUCCUCCCGCUACUCCUCCUGCUCCUACAGCUUCUCCUCCUCCAGGUACUACUGCUCCUCCUGCUUCUGAUGCUCUUCUUCCUUUAGCCUCGGCGGGGGUCACGUAGCUGGCAACUUUUAUUGCGUAGCCGGAAACGGAAACGCCGCGAACAUUCACGACAGGCGCGCUGUAAAGACAGAGAAAGAGAGAGAGGGUGAGCGCGAAGGGUGAUGGCAAAAUGGAGGCGUGGCAGCUGAUGGUGGGUGCUUUACUGUAACCAUGGAAAUGGCAGAAGACCAACUGCAGCAGCCACAGCAGGAAAAACUUUAAUGCAAUUUGCAUUUCAUUGAAAUUCACAUGCUAAAUUUAUUUUAAAACGAGCUGCGCUUUCUUUUUUUUCCCCUCCUCACACACACACACACAAACACUCACACACUAACACACAGAUGCUACUGGCUUUUCCAAUUUAAUUGUGGCAACUUUUUCGGCCAAACCUAUUAUUGUUAUUAUUAUAUGCGGGCGAACGGGCGAUUUCAAUGGCUAAUUUAUGCACAUUUUCCGGACUUUUGAACUUGAUGGGAUGGGGGGUAAAGGGCUGGGAGUUGGUUUGUAAGGAAAAUUUGUUUUUCUUUUGCACUUUUUUUUUUUUUGUAAUAUUUUAAUGUAUUUUUAAGCUUUAAAUUAUGAGUGUUAUUUAUGUAAUUCUGGCUUGCUAAAAUUCUUUUUAAAAAUCUAUGUUUAUUAAGGAAAAAUUAAGAGCAAGAAAUGUGAGAAUUUUCACGCUUAAUUUUUAUUUUAAUCAAUCUUAAUCUUAAAUAUUAAUCAAUCUACAGGGUGGCCCUUGUAGAGAUUGCUUUUUAAACUAUCGAUAACUUUGACUUUGACAUUUCGAAAGUCCUUGUCAAUGUGUUAGAUUUUUAAUAGAAGGUUUGCGGUUUACGAAAUGGUUAAGUUUAGGCUCAAAGUAAAAUGGGAAAUAUUGAUAUUUUAAAAGCGUUCUUAAAAUGCAAAUCUUUCGUGGGCCAACCUAUAAAAACUUGCCAAAUUAAAUCGAAAUAUUAAGACUUUCAGAAUCUAAGUUAAGUCUUCACAAAAUCUAAAUAAAAGUUGAAAAAUUAAUAAUAAAUAAAACAACAAAACAAUUCUCAGCACACAAAGAAUAAAGAAAAAUCAAGGAAUGCAGCAACAAAGUAAAGAUAAACAAAUAGAAAACAUUCAAUAUAUAUAUAGAUAUAGAUAUAUAUAUAAAAAUAUUUACAUAAACAAAGAACUAAAACAGCGUAGAAUUGUAAACUAAAGUUCUGUACUUUAUAUUAAAUUUAAUUAUUAACUAAAUUUUAGCAAAGAAACUUUACUCAGCUUAUAGAGAAAGCAAACUGCCAAAAGCAAACCCCAAAACCAAUGCCAAGGUCGUGUUGGGCAGGGUCAGGCGGCGGACUUUUGCCACCCACCAAAGCUGAUUAUGUUUUGAUUGGAACGCAAAAGCUAAAUUAUUUGAUUAAUGGGAUAUGCCAGAAAAUAAACAAAAUUUGCGGCAAAUGUCACGUUUGCAAAUUGGAAAAUCCUCUCAAAUAAUAUUUGCAUUUGCAUUUGUAUCUGCGAAUGAAAAUUCGAAUGUGAAUUACAGCUAAAUUUUAUCCUCAAAAAGCAAAAACAAAAACAAAAAAUACAAAUCUAGUACAGCUCGUAAUGGGGACGCAUUUUGUGGUCAAUGUAGAAUUUAAUUUGGCAUAUCAUUCUCGAUUAUGUCGCGGACUUUUGUUUAUGACUUUUAAGAGCCUUAACAGGCAGCAGCUGAUGAUUAGUGGGCGUGUCCCGUGGCCCUCAUUCGUUGUUGGCCUUGAGUUUGUCGAUGCCUUGGCAUUGCCGUCAUCAUUAAAAUGCAAAUAACAUUCUGUAUGCCACCUUUGACUAAGCGGUGGCACAAAGCGUGCGGCACGUGUGUCAGUAGUAGGAGUUGGGAGUUGGUAGUUGGAAGAAAGGAAGUUAGGGAGUUGGGAGUUUUCCAUCUUCUGGUGGAAAUAGUUUUCCAACAAUCGACAGGGAACUUGGUUGGUUGGUAGUCAGUCAACAAUGUUCGAAACGCGUGCCUGAACGGUGAUUGUGGUUUCUGGUUUUGCGAGGCGUCUCUUCAAAAUGUCAGCUUACAGCUUUAGUUUCUUAGCGAAGGUCACAUUGUUGUAAUUUGUAAGCUGGUCACUCUUAUUGGGCUUAACUUGGCUGAUAAUCUUUUGGGGAAAAUGUUCUUUAAAUGUUUUCUUAGGACUUUAAUUUGAGGUUACUGGAAUUAUUAAAUGCGAUUCAUAGUUUUAGUUUCCGUACGAUGGUCACAUUGUUGUAAUUUGUAAGCCUGGGCUUGACUUUGGGGAAAAAUGUUUUUAAAAUGCUUUUUUAGGACUUUAAAUUAAGGUUUUAAGCAUAAUUCCAUGCGAGUUACAGCUUUAGUUUCUGUACGAUGGUCACAUUGGUGUACGUUUUGUUCUGGUCACUCUGGUUUGGCUUGACUUGACUGGCAAUCUUUGCGAAAAAUGUUCUUUAAAUGCUUUUUUAGGACUUUAAAUUAAGGUUUUAAGCAUAAUUCCAUGCGAAUUACUUUAGUUUGUGUACGAUGGUCACAUUGUUGUACUUUGUAAGCUGGUCAGACUUUCUUGGCUUGUCUUGACUGAUAAUCUUUGCUGAAAAUGUUCUUUUCUAGAACUAUUCCAUGCGAAUUACAGCCUACUUUGUUAACUGGUCACUCUCAAGUGGAUUGACUUUGGGGGAAAAGUUCUGAAAAUGCUUUUUAAAGACAUUAAUUCAAGGUUUUUGGCAAAAGUUGAUACAAAGUUGUUAAGAAAUCCUUAAAAAAUAGAUUCCUUUUCAUAAAAUUGAAUCCAAACUUCGCUUCAGUAUCAUUAUAUAUACCUUAACUCAUUUACGAUAUCUAACUAGCCGUUGGUCACAUUAAUUUUGGUUAACUUUAUGCAAAUCUGGCAACAUAGUUUCUAUGGUUUACUCCAAAAAGUAGUAGUCCCCCCGUAGCAGCCUCCUCUUGUGGUAACCCUUAAUCCUUAGGCAAUCCUUUAAGUUAACUUGGUCACACUUUCACUUCCGUUUGACACUUCUCGACGAAAAUCCAAGCUGAAAGCAUCGACAAGGAAAAAACUGAAAGAAAAAAAAAAAAAAAAGAAAAACGCAAUGAAUCAUAUUGUUAAGCGAACCGUCAAGAAUCUCGUCAAGAAUGUUGUCGAUAAUCUCAUUAAGGAGCUCCUCAAGGAUGUCCUUCAGAAUCUGUUCAAGAAGCUUAUCAAGAAUCUUAUUAGGGGUCGGGUCAUGGGGCUCGACCGAAAUAUGGUAAAGAAUUUCGUCAAGAAUCUUUCUAGAGAUCUUGCCAGGAAUCUCACCAAUACUCUAGUCAAAGAUCUUGUCAAGAAUCUUGCCAGGGAACUCACCAGGGAUCUCAUCCGGGAGCUUCCUAUCUUAUCCGGAACUCCAAGGGUCAGCAUACCUUCCGUCCCAGGGCUACGUCGCCAAAUUCGUAUCCAUAUCAAGCGCAGAGUGUUGGCAAAUCGUAGUUUAUGGCGACGCCCACCAAGCGCCUAAGAUGGGUGCUGUUUGCUGCAACGUUUCAAGAAGGUAGACCACAUCAUCAACGAAUCCCACCAGAAGAGUAAUCCCCUCCAGGCCUUUGCUUCAAUGGCAGUGGUCUGCGAGAUGGUCUGAUGGCACUCUGAGAUGGUCUGAUAAAAAAGAUGAUGUAAAAUUUUAGAAGAAACAAGGCAAAGGAACUUGUAAACUGAAUAAGAAGUGUCACCUCGAAACGUAUCUAAAUAAAUAUUAAGAAUCCCAAA